rnacentral:rRNA from 1 species
UACGUAGGCAGCAAGCGUUGUUCGGAAUUACUGGGCGUAAAGAGUGUGUAGGCGGUUCUCUAAGUUCCGUGUGAAAUCUCCCGGGUUAACUGGGAGGGUGCGCGGAAGACUGGAGGGCUGGAGUAUGGGAGAGGAAAGCGGAAUUCCUGGUGUAGCGGUGAAAUGCGUAGAUAUCAGGAGGAACACCGGUGGUGUAGACGGCUUUCUGGACCGUAACUGACGCUGAGGCGCGAAAGCUAGGGGAGCAAACGGG